AACUCUUACUAAACAUAAGAUAAUUCACACUGAGGAGAAACCCUACAAAUGUGAAGAUCGUGGCAGAUCCUUUGGAUGGUCCACAAACCUGAACGAAUAUAAGAAAAUUCAUACUGGAGAUAAACUCUACAAAUGUAAAGAAUGUGGGAAAGUGUUUAAACAGUCCUCACACCUGAAUAGACAUGAGAAAAUUCAUACUGGAAAGAAA
rnacentral:misc_RNA from 1 species